AAAUUGAAGAGUUUGAUCAUGGCUCAGAUUGAACGCUGGCGGCAGGCCUAACACAUGCAAGUCGAACGGUAACAGGAAGCAGCUUGCUGCUUCGCUGACG
rnacentral:rRNA from 5 species